UGGCGGGGGACUUACAAAAUGGUGCAGAUUGGACUUUCUUGCCUUCUACUUUAAUAUAAAAGAAAGAGGGGCGUUGUUGAUUAUCUGGCUGUUUCCUGUCGAAUUACGGGCACUGUAACCAGGGUUUGGAUUUUGAAGUAGUGGGUGUUCGACUUUAGAGUUGUUUUCCUGGAAGCGCUGAUACUGGACUUAGUGGAGGAGAACGAUGGUAUCAAUGUGUUUCUGGAUGACUGCCUGGACAAGGGAGUUCAGCUUUUGGGAGAUUGACUGGGCUAUGAAGUGUACCUUUCUACUCUGCAGAGGCUGGAAAGGCAAAAAUGAUGGCUAAGGCUUCCUUGCAGCCGCUGAUACAGAAGCCUGAGGGAACACACUCCCCCUACGUCCUUCUCCAACACAGCAGAGCCAGGAAGGACCCGGAUGGAAGUUAGGACAAAGAGGCCCAGAAUUGGCACAGAUACCAACAGACCAUUCGUUGAAGAAGAAAUCCAAAUGGCCAUAAGAACCCCAGAGAUGAAAGGCCUCCUCCCACUGGCUUGGUUCCUGGCUUGUAGUGUGCCUACUGUGCAAGGAGGCUUGCUGGACCUAAAAUCAAUGAUCGAGAAGGUGACAGGGAAGAACGCCCUGACAAACUACGGCUUCUACGGCUGUUACUGCGGCUGGGGCGGCCGAGGAACCCCCAAGGAUGGCACCGAUUGGGUCUCACUCUGGUUGCCCAGGCUGGUGUGCAAUGAUGCGAUCUCAGCUCACUGCAUCCUCGACCUUCUGCACUCAGAUGAUUCUCCCACCUCAGCCUCCUGAGUAGCUGGGACUGCAGGUGCUGUUGGGCGCAUGACCACUGCUAUGGGCGGCUGGAGGAGAAGGGCUGCAACAUUCGCACACAGUCCUACAAAUACAGAUUCGCGUGGGGCGUGGUCACCUGCGAGCCCGGGCCCUUCUGCCAUGUGAAGCUCUGUGCCUGUGACCGGAAGCUCGUCUACUGCCUCAAGAGAAACCUACGGAGCUACAACCCACAGUACCAAUACUUUCCCAACAUCCUCUGCUCCUAGGCCUCCCCAGCGAGCUCCUCCCAGACCAAGACUUUUGUUCUGUUUUUCUACAACACAGAGUACUGACUCUGCCUGGUUCCUGAGAGAGGCUCCUAAGUCACAGACCUCAGUCUUUCUUGAAGCUUGGCGGACCCCCAGGGCCACACUGUACCCUCCAGCGAGUCCCAGGAGAGUGACUCUGGUCAUAGGACUUGGUAGGGUCCCAGGGUCCCUAGGCCUCCACUUCUGAGGGCAGCCCCUCUGGUGCCAAGAGCUCUCCUCCAACUCAGGGUUGGCUGUGUCUCUUUUCUUCUCUGAAGACAGCGUCCUGGCUCCAGUUGGAACACUUUCCUGAGAUGCACUUACUUCUCAGCUUCUGCGAUCAGAUUAUCAUCACCACCACCCUCCAGAGAAUUUUUACGCAAGAAGAGCCAAAUUGACUCUUUAAAUCUGGUGUAUGGGUAUUAAAUAAAAUUCAUUCUCAAGG
rnacentral:sRNA from 1 species